UAAGUCUUGCACACAUGCAGGUUAGCCUUACGCAUUGUAGGUCCUACACGCAGCAGGCUAGGCCUGCGGUGCAGGAUCGACUGGGGUAGCUUGCUGCUACCUCGAGCAGUGCGCGUCGCCCCCUUGGGCGCCGUACGCUGCCGGUUAAGCGGCGAGCCGCCACCGUCUUGAUCGGUGUGCCGCACUCACUUGGGUGAUGUGCUACUGUCGUUUGCGUGGCAUGCCUCCAUUUUUCGCUUUGCCAUCAUGUUGCAUCUGAUGGUU
rnacentral:lncRNA from 1 species